rnacentral:lncRNA from 1 species
AAAAGGACAGGGUUGUUUUGGGGUGCUCUGAGAAGGGGAAAAGGAGACCAGUGUAUAACUUUGAGUAGCUAGAACGGGAAGAUUUGAGGGGGCUGAAUGAAUUGAUGAGAGUGAUUUAACUUAAAGGACUGGGGCAUUAUCUGUGGGCCCGGGUAUACUAGCUUCACUUUUGAGGAAAAGUGAAGCUGGGAAAUGUGAGAUCUACUCAGUGGGUCCGGGGAAAUGUGAGAGGAGUAAGGAAAGUGAAGACACAGAUGUGUUGGAGGCUCCAGGCUAGCAUGGUAAAGAGAAAGGGUUUCCUGGAUUCUGAUUACAGAAUGGACCUGUGGGGGUCUCAGAUUGAGGCCUAACAGCAUUUAAAAGGAGCAACUGGUAGAACAGAUUUGGGGAAAUAUUUAUGGGUAGAAGAGAAUGAUAAGUGAGCUACAGAAAUAGGUAGAAGCCCAUCUAAAUAUCAGGUAAGUAUCAGGGGGGUUAUGGAAAAUGCUUUGGUACCCGAAAGAUACUGAGUGAAUGCUAUUUGAAGGACCAACAGGAG